GUUUGGUUGAGUGGUUGAUAAUUGUCGACAGGAGUUCAGUGGAAGGCUGGUUAAACCGUUUGGUUUUCGACCACUACGACCCGGGUUCGAUUCCCGCAUUGGACA